UUGGUGUACUUGCAUAUUUUCCCUUUUAAGGCCACGCGUUUUUCAUUUUUCCAUUUCUCUCAGUCCCACAUAGAUCUAGGGCUUCAUCACUCCUCUUUCUUAUGGUGAAAGUUCACUAGAUCGAGCGUCGUAGGCUCCGAUUUACGAUCGUAAUCUCUAUCCGACUCUCUUCAUCUUGGCUCAAAGCUCUUAAUCAGUCCGAUUUGAAGAUUAAUUUUAUCUGUAAGCUUUAGUCCCUGUGCGCAUAUUAACAUCCUCAAACAGACUCUAUUUCUGACUCGUUCAUGGUGAUCUUUGCGUUUGUGCUUCGUAUGCAAUUCUAGGGUUAGUCUAUUGAGCCUAAUGCUGCUCAUAGACUUAUGGAAACAAAUGGGCAAUGAUUGCUAGGCUCUUCCCUGGUAGAAUUGACAAUGCAGUGAAGUAUAAGCCCUGUUACAAGCCCUGCGCCAAAAUUGUAAAUGACGUCGCAGGUAAUUGCCCUUUCUUUUCCUACUUUUGGUGCUCUGUAAUCUCAUAAUGUCACAUUUCUCUAGUUUUAUUUAUUUAUUUGUUAACCAUUUGCCUAAAUUGUAAUGCAAAUUUGUGGUAACUAUAUUGUUGUCGAAACGUGAAUCGAAUCGUUAAAAAGUGAAUCAUAAAUCAUUUUAAACUGUAAAUCAUAAGAUUUAUAUUAUUUAAUAUAAUAUAUAAUACAGUGCUUAAAAUCGAAACGUAUACAGUGUUUAAUAAAAACUAGAUUAUUAAUAUGACUAAAUUAUAAACGUAUACACACAUAAAAUCAGAUAUAUCAAUUUAAGUAAUUACGUUCUAUAAAUUUCUAUAGUUUGGUGAAAACGUCGAUGUUUCAUGCGUUAUAUAAACAAAAAUAGAAAAAGAAUAGAAUUGCAGUGAAUUUUGUGAAUCUCAAUGAAUCGUAGUGAAUCAUAAAUUGAAUUGUUCAAUUCACUCAAUUUUCGAUUCAGCAGCACAAUUCGAAUUGUUUUUGUUGAAACUCGUAUAUGUUUGGUUUUGCUAAUGCUGUUUUUAAAAUGUUUAAUGUAAUUAUGUGUGAAUCAGAGGCUAAUACCUAAACUCUGUAUAAUUAAACAACAUGCAGAAUUUUUCUUAGCUUCUUAUUGGAGUCAACAAAAAAGUCUCUGUUGGUUAGCUUUUGAUCAUUUGGGUUCUUUAUUUAUUUGGAAUUUUUCAAAUAUAUUUGUCCUCUUCUUUUCCUUCAUAUAAAAUUAUACCCAUUGCUUUGAUGUUUGGGUGCAAGCAUAAAACUUUCGAUACUUGUUUCUAUUUUUGAUGUUUUCAGCAGCAAAUUUGGUUGUGCCUAACGCAGCAAAGGCUGUAAGUAUGGAGAAUAUUAUGGUGAGAACUUGUUGUUAGCAAAUUGGAAAAUAAUGCCCCUAGGACUGAGAUAAUUUAGACAUUUUUUAUAAGAGAAAAAGUGACACAUUGUGAAUCUAGACUGAAAACAUAAUGGAUGACCUUGAACUGAGGUAGUUACUGGACAAUGUUGUGUUACUUCUCAUCUUGCUUACAGCCUUUGCCAAUAAUGCCCCUAGCUCUAGUAGUUGGGUCCCAAAAUUGCCUAAUCUUCCCGCUACAACAAAACGAAAUUGUUUGUGCCUCCCUCCUCUCCCGUUCCAUUUUUGAUCUCUCUCUGUCUCAAAAAAGUAUUAAAUAGUUCUCGAGUGACACGCGUCAUAUUUUUUUACCAAUUAUCAUUCACCAUCUUAAUGUAAAACAAAAUCACAUAUUUUUUUAUAUUUUUUAAUCACUUAAUGUGAAAUUAUAAUAUUUUACAUUCUGUAUUAGUCAUAACUUCAUAAGAUUGUCGGCGUAUUUCUGGAAUAACCAAUGAUCACCCUUCUCUUUCUCUUCAAUCCAAGUGGUCCACGAUUCUUAACCUGCACCAUCAGCCAUGACUUCUAAGCUCUUGACAUAGUUUCCUCUAUCGCCCCAUGUCUUCAAAACCUCUCGAUUUCGUUGUUUUCUGCUCUCUAUUUGUAAGAUAACGCCUUCUGCAGCGAUCACAAUGAAGAUAGCUUGUUGGGUCGUGGUCUUUUCGAUCUUUCUCUGCUUAUUCGCAUAUGGGUCGUUCUCAAUUGAUGUUUUUCGUAAAGGGUAAGCAAUUUCUUGAUACAUAAGUAAAUGUAGAAGUGUCUGAGCGUUUUGAAUUUGAAUUCAUGUACGCGUUCAUGUCGCUUUAGAAUCAAUUGAGUUUGCUUUGAAAUCCUUGACUUGGGGUCAUUAUGUUUCGUGACGAUCUUGAUGAUGCAUUGUGUGGUGUUGUUAGAAGAUGCAUAAGAGUAGAGGAUUUAUUGCUGCUUCUCUGUUAGAUUUGUGAUUUUAAUUUGUUUAGUUAAGCAAUAUUGGUAAUUGGUAAGUUGUGAUGAGUUCCAUUUAUUUAGGAUUUAGCUUUACUCUUAGAACUGGACUACUACAAACUUUGAUGAGAUAUUUAUGCUAUGGAUGAUAUGAGACAAUGGUGAUUACAUUUUUGUACCGUAUUAACCUUUUUAAUAUGAAUGGAUAUUUAUGGUCAAAUGCUGUAUUUAAUUCCAAGUGUUAAUUGAAGAAGUUUGGAAUUGUUGUUCAUUUUAUUGAGUAUUGGAAUUGCAAGGUGGUCAACUUAAUUUUAGAUGAAGCUGCUAAGAGGCCAACAUAAAUGCUUUAGAUAAUACAGUGAGGUGUAAUGAAAAAAACUUGGUUAGAUAUGAUUUAAGAAGAGUAUAGUUUUGCAUGUUGAAUGGGGUGGAAAAGAUUUCAUGUUGCCUACAUCAAGUAUACAGGAGUGGAGGCAACUCGAGUGUUUUGUUUCAGUAUUAUUACUGAUUGUAGUUAAUGUGCGCUUUGUUUUUUUGACGUUUCCAAUUUCCACAUGUAUAUAUAUAUAUUCAUAUGUAUGUUCAAAUUUAUCUCAUCCGAAUUUAAUGCUUUAAUAUGACAUUUUGUAUUUUAUGUUUCAGUGAGGCUCCUUGGACUCUUCAAUUGAUUAAUGUUCUUUUGCUAGCAAGGUUGAAGGUUUUAUGCAGCAAAUUAGCAGAGUUUGAUUGAUUUAUUAAUAAAGUUUGGCUGCUUGAAAUGUAUGGUCAGGGUAAAGAUCACUCUAUUUCUUAUGUUUGAUUGCUAACACACAGACUCUUCACAUUAAGGUAAAGACUCUUGGCUCCAAAUUAGGUGGGUCUUUCCUGUUUGUGUUUUCUGCUUUUAAAUUGGUCUUUCAUCUAAAAAAAUUUCAAAUUGGUCUUUCCUGUUUGGAAGAUUUGGCAUUUGUUUUCAGAAAUCUCACCAAAGGUCUUUACGAUAUUUAAUAAGGCCAUGAUUUUUGGGCUUUAUAUGUGUAUCUCUAUGAACUUUCUUUUUUCUCUUUUGAAAUUUUUGACAUUAUACUUUAACUACAUGUCUCUUUUCAGUUAUGAUAUUAAGAAAGAUGUAUGAAACUAUGGAUUUAAAAGGAAUGUAUGAAGAGGAGUUGUUUUGAGGAGUUGCA